rnacentral:rRNA from 1 species
CCCGCUGAACUUAAGCAUAUCAAUAAGCGCAGGAAAAGAAACCAACAGGGAUUGCCUCAGUAACGGCGAGUGAAGCGGCAACAGCUCAAAUUUGAAAUCUGGCCUCUCUGUGUCGAGUUGUGAUUUGUAGAGAGGUAUCUUUGGUGAUCCCUCUCGCAUAUGUUCCCUGGAACCAGACGGCCUAAAAGGGGAAAAUCCCCGACAUGGAGCGAUGACAUAUUACUAUGUAAAGUGCCUCCAAAAAGCCAAGUGGUUGGGAAAUGCACCUCUAAUGGGGGGGAAAAUUCCACCUAAGGCUAAUAAUGGCCAAAAGACCAAUACCCAACAAGUGCGGGAACGAAAAAAUGAAAACAACUUUAAAAAAAAAGUGAACAAGAACUUAAAAUUGUGGAAAGGAAACGCUUGCAAACCGAACUUGGCAUUCAAUGACCACUAUUCUUUCGGCUAGAUGCCCUCGCCGUGUACUGGCCCACCUUCGAUCUAAACGGCGAGAUAAUGACUUGUGAAUGUAUCUUCGCUUCGGUAGACUUAUAGCUCCUGUUGACAUGCUCACUCUAGAUACCGAACUACGCACUUCUGCUAGGAUGUUGGCGUAAUGAUUGUCAGCCACCCGUCUUGAAACACGG